UACGGAGGAUUCGAGCGUUAUCCGGAUUUAUUGGGUUUAAAGGGAGCGUAGGCGGGUUGUUAAGUCAGUUGUGAAAGUUUGCGGCUUAACCGUAAAAUUGCAGUUGAUACUGGCACCCUUGAGUACAGUAGAGGUAGGCGGAAUUCGUGGUGUAGCGGUGAAAUGCUUAGAUAUCACGAAGAACUCCGAUUGCGAAGGCAGCCUGCUGGACUGUAACUGACGCUGAUGCUCGAAAGUGUGGGUAUCAAACAGG
rnacentral:rRNA from 1 species